rnacentral:tRNA from 1 species
GGUGGUGAAGUCACCAGAUUGUCACCCCGGGGGACGUGUGUUCGAAUCCCACCACCACCA